UUCUAAAUUACAUGCAUUCUUAACGUACCAUUGAUUUAUUCUUCUUGAUUCAGUUUUCUCAAUUUCUUGUUUCAUGUUAACAAUUCUUCUUCUUUCUGGGCUGUCUUGGAAUCUUUUUUGGUGAUGCAAGUUGUUUUUCAAUAGAUCAAGAAAGUAGUAGUAAUUGAUUCUUUUGUUCUUAUAGCUACUUGUCCGUUUUCCUUAAUAUGAAACUCACUGCUUUAUUUUAAUAGUUUUCUAAUGAUUCUUAAUUGCUAUGGAGCUUUAUUAGUUGUGUUUUUUUUCUCGUAUGACUACAUAGGUAAUUAGAUCAUCUGAUUAUGAAAUUUACUGCACCCUUGUUUUCUUGAUAUGUUUUACUUGAGCUGAGCGGGGUAAGGCUAAGGCUGAGACUCCACCUGUGGGAUUAUCCGGUGUUUUUUGUUGUAAUUUUAGGCAGUGGUUUAAUACACUGCAUUCUUGUGUUUGAUACUGUGGUGGUUAUUGAUUCUCUUGCUAAUUCAUGUUGAACUAAAAGAAACUUAAAGAAGCUGAAACAUCCCGCCUUUUCUUUAAUAACCUUCUACAAUCUUGAACUCUGAAUUUUCUUGAACAUUCAGUUUUCUUGAUUUUAUGAAUUUCUUGAUUCAUGUCAUGUUAACAAUCUUAUUCUUUAUGGGCUGUCUUGGGAUUUUUUUGGUGAUGCAAGUUGUUUUUCAAUAGAUCAAGAAAGUAGUAAUUGGUUUUGAUUCUUUUGUUCUUAUAGCUACUUGUCCAUUUUUUUUAACAUGAAAUUCACUGCUUUAUCUUGAAUAGCUUUUUAAUGAUUCUUAAUUGCUAUGGAGCUUUAUUAGUUGUGCUUUUUCUUUUCUUUCCGUAUGACUACAUAGGUUAUUAGAUAAUCUGAUUAUUAAAUUUAUCACAUGCUUGUUUUCUUGAUAUGCUUUACUUGAGUCGAGGGUCUAUCCAGAAUAGCCUCUCUACCUUUACAAGGUAGGGAUAAGGCCGAGCCCCCACUUGUGGGAUUAUACGUUGUGUUUUGUUGUUGUUGAUUUUGAAAUUUAAUGUACUUAGGAGAUAUUUUAGGCUGUGGUUUCAAUACAUUGCAUUCUCGUGCUUGAUACUGCGGUGGCUAUUGAUUCUCUUGCUAAUUCAUGUUGAACCAAAAGAAACUUAAAGAAGCUGAAACAUCCCACCUUUUCUUUAAAUAACCUUCUACAAUCUUGAACUUCGACUAAGUCUCAGGAUUGUCAAUUUUUAUGCUCUUUAUAGGAGAAGUGUUAGAAGCAAAUGAGUUUAGGCACAUUCUAUAUCUAGGGGAAAGUUGGGAUAGUUUUGUUGUUUUUGUAAUCAUGGGCAUGUCUUUGCAUAGUUACUGAUGUGAUUUAAUUUUUUACCAUAUCAAGCAACUAAAAGUCUAAAACUAGUGGAUAACCUUUAAGCUGCCACAAAUGUUGAAGCAAGUACUUGCGGAUAUUGCUUGAUUUAUCUGGUUCCUUCAUAAACUUGAUUAUUGUGUUGGUCAGGAGGCCGAUGAUAAAAUUUUGCUAGUUUUUCUCGAUGUAGUUAGGUGGUUAACAUAUCACGCAACUAUAAAGUGCAACAAGUUUGUUUUGUAAUUAUGGCGGAGAAGAACAAAACCAAUUGGCUAAAAAUGUACUUCAAAUAACCCUAUAAUUGUGAGUUUGAGCCUCUUGGAGUGGUGGAUAUUUGUCAAGUUCAAAUUUGAAUGGGUUCCCAGAUUUCUUUCAUGUGGAUUAGAUUGGGUGGUUUAAGUGGAGUGUUGGUCCACUAAAAGGUCACUGUAUCACUGUUGUGUGCUCUUUUUGAACAUGAAUCUCGAGGGCAUCAUCAUGUUGGGGCUUCGUGACUGGUUCUCUGCCUGAGCAUUGAAAGGAUGAGCAGUGGAAGGAUGACAGCUGGUAGUUUGUGUCCAGUGAAUGGCAGAGAUUUUUGGUUCAUCCAACGUAUAAUCACGAGGAAUACACUGGUUUUAUUGAAAAGCUAUGUUGGGUUGAAAAAGACUGUGUUGGGUAGAAAACCUAACUUCUCUUGCUCGCGACUCCUUUAUCCUUCUAUCUUAUUUCCAUUGAUUUUUUUUAUUACUCCCAUCUCAAGGCAUUGUCGCUUUUGAUUCCCUGCUGGUUUCCCUAAUGCUCGAAUUAGUAACACUAUCUCCCAUUUACCAAACAGAUCACAUAUCAUAAUAUCCCAUGCAUACUCGUUCUAGUGAAUCUUUCAACGUUAACUUGAAAGUACACACAACAUUCCCAGCUCCGGCAAAUGAAGUUUCUUCUUGUCAAGUGCUCAAGUAGUUCCUUCUAUCAUCGAGAUAGAAUCCCCAUGCUCAAAUGAAGAUGAAUUUCCUAACUACAUCAGCUGGACUUCUUUUCCUUCUAUUUUUCUUCCUCAUAGUUUGCAGGAUAGUGCAUUACUAGUAUCUUGAAGCAUUCAGAAAAAGAGAGUGUAUGGAAGCCUUCUUAGUCUAUAAGAUGAGCAUUCUCACAAAAAACCUGAGAAUCUUACAAUAUUGAGUUCAAAUUUCUGGAGUCAUUCUUUUAAAGGGGCUCUUGAGCAGAAACGGGAAAUUAAGCCAUGGAACUCAAAUAAAAUUUCUUCCGAGUUUGAUGCAGCCUUGUACAGUUCCAUGAAACCAAGUCUUAUUUGAGUCAUCCUGGAUGGGCACCAAUCACAGAUUUGUUAGAUCUUUGGUGUUGAGUCCAGAAAGUUCUUGACCCAAAAGCUGCCUGUGGUUCAUAAAAAAGUAACACAUGGAAGAAAACAUUGCAAUUUCAAAUCUUGGGUGUCAUUUCCUAAGUAAUUCUUGGAUUUUGCUUGGUGAUUAUUACAGCCCAUGAUAAAUUCAACUAUUCAAGAAAAUCAUCAAAGGGUGAAACCUACUGGUCAAUGUAGUGGGAAGCGGAGGCAAAAACACCAGGAAUUAAUCACUCUCAUAUUCAUGUCAAGGAGAUAUAUACCAACCGUAAGUUUCGAGGAAUUGACAAAUCUGGUGUAUACAAACUAAAACCCGGUGUAGGGCAUUGUCCAAUGGCAGGUGUUCCGUUGAUAUUUCCUGUCCACUCUUGGCACAAAAGGAAGAACACAAUGAAGUAGGGUAAGGUUAGCUAAAGGAUUUGAUGGGGCUAAGGAUGGUUCCAAAAAGAGCAGCUACUUUAGAUGAAUGCUACUGCGAUUGCACUCUUUACUUGCAUGUAUGAAAUUGACAUUACAUGUAUCCUGUUCGUUUGAGACUUGUUGCUGCAAGACUGCCGUGAGCCAUGAUAAAGAUGGGUGAACUAGAGAUCAAAGGAAUGAAAAGAAGCUGAUAGCAUAAUACACGAGUAGUUUGGGCCAAGAAUAACCUUGAUCAUCAUGAGAACUUUCCUGACCAUCCCUAAAUCCCAAUGAAAGCCUUUAAUUGGGGCUUUGCUGGAAAAACCUGCUUAAAAAACCUUAUGUUGUUCUUGAGGAAAGCUAUAUGGACAUGUGUGAAGACCAAGAGCGAUUAUUCACUUCUCUUCUUCCAUGGUCCAAGUGUGGGAUAAAUUGAUUCUCCAUUUGUAUUUAGAUUUUUGUCUUUGUAUUUUCUCAAUUCCAAACCCUUUUUUUAAGUCCUACCUUGAAAGGAACAUACAAUGAGAUCGUACCUGGAUAGAGAUGGUGGUCUUACUCUGAUGUCUCCAAGCUGGCCAUAAUAGAAUAGCUAGGUGAAGCAGUCGAUAGAUAGCAGGUUGCUUACAAACUCAACCAUUUUAAACACAAUUGCUACUUUUUUCUUGUCAUUGACUGAGUGGUAGUUUUCGUCCCUGUCAAAUAAAGAUGACUCCUAGAGAGUUACCAAAAUAUGAAGUUCUCUUCUUUCUUUUUGA